rnacentral:rRNA from 1 species
UACGUAGGGGGCGAGCGUUGUCCGGAUUUACUGGGCGUAAAGCGCGUGUAGGCGGCUUCUUAAGUCGGGUGUGAAAGGCCCGGGCUCAACCCCGGGAUGCCGCCCGAGACUGGGAGGCUUGAGUUCGGGAGAGGGAAGCGGAAUUCCGGGUGUAGCGGUGAAAUGCGUAGAUAUCCGGAGGAACACCGGUGGCGAAGGCGGCUUCCUGGACCGACACUGACGCUGAGGCGCGAAAGCUAGGGGAGCAAACGGG